GCCGAGUGGCGGACGAGUGAGUAACACGUACCUAAUCUACCUAUAAGUGGGGAACAACCGCCCGAAAGGGUGGCUAAUACCGCAUGUGCUCUACGGAGUAAAGCUUUUGCGCUUAUAGAUGAGGGUGCGUCCUAUCAGCUAGUUGGUAAGGUAAUUGCUUACCAAGGCUAUGACGGGUAGCUGGUCUGAGAGGAUGAUCAGCCACGCUGGGACUGAGAUACGGCCCAGACUCC
rnacentral:rRNA from 1 species